rnacentral:rRNA from 1 species
AAACCAACCGGGAUUGCCUUAGUAACGGCGAGUGAAGCGGCAAAAGCUCAAAUUUGAAAUCUGGUACCUUCGGUGCCCGAGUUGUAAUUUGGAGAGGGCAACUUUGGGGCCGUUCCUUGUCUAUGUUCCUUGGAACAGGACGUCAUAGAGGGUGAGAAUCCCGUGUGGCGAGGAGUGCG